GGGGAAUAUUGCACAAUGGGCGCAAGCCUGAUGCAGCGACGCCGCGUGAGGGAUGGAGGCCUUCGGGUUGUAAACCUCUUUCGCCAGUGAAGCAGGCCUGUCCCUUGUGGGUGGGUUGACGGUAGCUGGAUAAGAAGCGCCGGCUAACUACGUGCCAGCAGCCGCGGUAAUACGUAGGGCGCGAGCGUUGUCCGGAAUUAUUGGGCGUAAAGAGCUCGUAGGCGGCUGGUCGCGUCUGUCGUGAAAUCCUCUGGCUUAACUGGGGGCUUGCGGUGGGUACGGGCCGGCUUGAGUGCGGUAGGGGAGACUGGAACUCCUGGUGUAGCGGUGGAAUGCGCAGAUAUCAGGAAGAACACCGGUGGCGAAGGCGGGUCUCUGGGCCGUUACUGACGCUGAGGAGCGAAAGCGUGGGGAGCGAACAGGAUUAGAUACCCUGGUAGUCCACGCCGUAAACGUUGGGCACUAGGUGUGGGGGGCCUUUUCCGGGUCUUCCGCGCCGUAGCUAACGCAUUAAGUGCCCCGCCUGGGGAGUACGGCCGCAAGGCUA
rnacentral:rRNA from 1 species